UACAGAGGGGGCAAGCGUUGUUCGGAAUUACUGGGCGUAAAGGGCGCGUAGGCGGCCACCUAAGUCAGACGUGAAAUCCCCCGGCUCAACCGGGGAAGUGCAUCCGAAACUGGCGGGCUAGAGUACGAAAGAGGGUCGCGGAAUUCCCGGUGUAGAGGUGAAAUUCGUAGAUAUCGGGAGGAACACCGGUGGCGAAGGCGGCGACCUGGGUCGAUACUGACGCUGAGGUGCGAAAGCGUGGGGAGCAAACAGG
rnacentral:rRNA from 1 species